rnacentral:rRNA from 1 species
UGCGUAGGCGGAAAUUUAAGUCAGUGGUGAAAUCCUGCGGCUCAACCGUAGAACUGCCAUUGAUACUGAAUUUCUUGAAUAUAGUUGAGGUAGGCGGAAUGUGUAAUGUAGCGGUGAAAUGCUUAGAUAUUACACAGAACACCGAUUGCGAAGGCAGCUUACUAAACUAUUAUUGACGCUGAUGCACGAAAGCGUGGGGAGCAAACAGGAUUAGAUACCCUGGUAGUCC